UUAAGCGACUAAGCGUACACGGUGGAUGCCCUGGCAGUCAGAGGCGAUGAAGGACGUGCUAAUCUGCGAAAAGCGCCGGCGAGGUGAUAUGAACCCUUGACCCGGCGAUGUCCGAAUGGGGAAACCCAGUGUGAUUCGUCACACUAUCGUUAACUGAAUACAUAGGUUAACGAGGCGAACCGGGGGAACUGAAACAUCUAAGUACCCCGAGGAAAAGAAAUCAACCGAGAUUCCCCCAGUAGCGGCGAGCGAACGGGGAGCAGCCCAGAGUCUGAAUCAGCUUGUGUGUUAGUGGAAGCGUCUGGAAAGUCGCACGGUACAGGGUGAAAGUCCCGUACACGAAAAUGCACAGGCUGUGAACUCGAAGAGUAGGGCGGGACACGUGGUAUCCUGUCUGAAUAUGGGGGGACCAUCCUCCAAGGCUAAAUACUCCUGACUGACCGAUAGUGAACCAGUACCGUGAGGGAAAGGCGAAAAGAACCCCGGCGAGGGGAGUGAAAAAGAACCUGAAACCGUGUACGUACAAGCAGUGGGAGCACCUUCGGGUGUGACUGCGUACCUUUUGUAUAAUGGGUCAGCGACUUAUAUUCUGUAGCAAGGUUAACCGUAUAGGGGAGCCGAAGGGAAACCGAGUCUUAACUGGGCGUUAAGUUGCAGGGUAUAGACCCGAAACCCGGUGAUCUAGCCAUGGGCAGGUUGAAGGUUGGGUAACACUAACUGGAGGACCGAACCGACUAAUGUUGAAAAAUUAGCGGAUGACCUGUGGCUGGGGGUGAAAGGCCAAUCAAACCGGGAGAUAGCUGGUUCUCCCCGAAAGCUAUUUAGGUAGCGCCUCGUGAAUUCAUCUUCGGGGGUAGAGCACUGUUUCGGCUAGGGGGCCAUCCCGGCUUACCAACCCGAUGCAAACUACGAAUACCGAAGAAUGUUAUCACGGGAGACACACGGCGGGUGCUAACGUCCGUCGUGAAGAGGGAAACAACCCAGACCGCCAGCUAAGGUCCCAAAGUCAUGGUUAAGUGGGAAACGAUGUGGGAAGGCCCAGACAGCCAGGAUGUUGGCUUAGAAGCAGCCAUCAUUUAAAGAAAGCGUAAUAGCUCACUGGUCGAGUCGGCCUGCGCGGAAGAUGUAACGGGGCUAAACCAUGCACCGAAGCUGCGGCAGCGACGCUUAUGCGUUGUUGGGUAGGGGAGCGUUCUGUAAGCCGUUGAAGGUGGCCUGUGAGGGUUGCUGGAGGUAUCAGAAGUGCGAAUGCUGACAUAAGUAACGAUAAAGCGGGUGAAAAGCCCGCUCGCCGGAAGACCAAGGGUUCCUGUCCAACGUUAAUCGGGGCAGGGUGAGUCGACCCCUAAGGCGAGGCCGAAAGGCGUAGUCGAUGGGAAACAGGUUAAUAUUCCUGUACUUGGUGUUACUGCGAAGGGGGGACGGAGAAGGCUAUGUUAGCCGGGCGACGGUUGUCCCGGUUUAAGCAUGUAGGCGGAGGUUCCAGGUAAAUCCGGUACCUUUUAACGCUGAGGUGUGAUGACGAGGCACUACGGUGCUGAAGUAACAAAUGCCCUGCUUCCAGGAAAAGCCUCUAAGCAUCAGGUAACAUCAAAUCGUACCCCAAACCGACACAGGUGGUCAGGUAGAGAAUACCAAGGCGCUUGAGAGAACUCGGGUGAAGGAACUAGGCAAAAUGGUGCCGUAACUUCGGGAGAAGGCACGCUGAUAUGUAGGUGAAGCCCCUGCGGGUGGAGCUGAAAUCAGUCGAAGAUACCAGCUGGCUGCAACUGUUUAUUAAAAACACAGCACUGUGCAAACACGAAAGUGGACGUAUACGGUGUGACGCCUGCCCGGUGCCGGAAGGUUAAUUGAUGGGGUUAGCGGCAACGCGAAGCUCUUGAUCGAAGCCCCGGUAAACGGCGGCCGUAACUAUAACGGUCCUAAGGUAGCGAAAUUCCUUGUCGGGUAAGUUCCGACCUGCACGAAUGGCGUAAUGAUGGCCAGGCUGUCUCCACCCGAGACUCAGUGAAAUUGAACUCGCUGUGAAGAUGCAGUGUACCCGCGGCAAGACGGAAAGACCCCGUGAACCUUUACUAUAGCUUGACACUGAACACUGGUCCUUGAUGUGUAGGAUAGGUGGGAGGCUUUGAAGCGUGGACGCCAGUCUGCGUGGAGCCGUCCUUGAAAUACCACCCUUUAAUGGCUGGUGUUCUAACGUAGACCCGUGAUCCGGGUUGCGGACAGUGUCUGGUGGGUAGUUUGACUGGGGCGGUCUCCUCCCAAAGAGUAACGGAGGAGCACGAAGGUUAGCUAAUCCUGGUCGGACAUCAGGAGGUUAGUGCAAUGGCAUAAGCUAGCUUGACUGCGAGAGUGACGGCUCGAGCAGGUGCGAAAGCAGGUCAUAGUGAUCCGGUGGUUCUGAAUGGAAGGGCCAUCGCUCAACGGAUAAAAGGUACUCCGGGGAUAACAGGCUGAUACCGCCCAAGAGUUCAUAUCGACGGCGGUGUUUGGCACCUCGAUGUCGGCUCAUCACAUCCUGGGGCUGAAGUAGGUCCCAAGGGUAUGGCUGUUCGCCAUUUAAAGUGGUACGCGAGCUGGGUUUAGAACGUCGUGAGACAGUUCGGUCCCUAUCUGCCGUGGGCGCUGGAGAAUUGAGGGGGGCUGCUCCUAGUACGAGAGGACCGGAGUGGACGCAUCACUGGUGUUCGGGUUGUCAUGCCAAUGGCACUGCCCGGUAGCUAAAUGCGGAAGAGAUAAGUGCUGAAAGCAUCUAAGCACGAAACUUGCCCCGAGAUGAGUUCUCCCUGAGACUUAAAGUCUCCUGAAGGAACGUUGAAGACGACGACGUUGAUAGGUCGGGUGUGUAAGCGCAGCGAUGCGUUGAGCUAACCGAUACUAAUGAACCGUGAGGCUUAACCUU
rnacentral:rRNA from 1 species